GCAGAUGUAGUUCAAUGGAAGAAUGUGUACUUCGCAUGUAUGAGGUCCCAGGUUCAAUCCCUGGCAUCUGCA